UUAUGUGGCUCAGUGGCACAGUGCUUGCUUCGAAUGUAUAAGGCACUGGGUUCAAUCCUCAGUACCACAUAAA
rnacentral:tRNA from 1 species